rnacentral:rRNA from 1 species
AUUGAACGCUGGCGGCAUGCUUUACACAUGCAAGUCGAACGGUAACAGGUUAAGCUGACGAGUGGCGAACGGGUGAGUAAUGCAUCGGAACGUGCCCGAUCGUGGGGGAUAACGCAGCGAAAGCUGCGCUAAUACCGCAUACGAUCUAAGGAUGAAAGCGGGGGACCGUAAGGCCUCGCGCGAUCGGAGCGGCCGAUGUCAGAUUAGGUAGUUGGUGGGGUAAAGGCUCACCAAGCCAACGAUCUGUAGCUGGUCUGAGAGGACGACCAGCCACACUGGGACUGAGACACGGCCCAGACUCCUACGGGGGGCAGCAGUGGGGAAUUUUGGACAAUGGGCGAAAGCCUGAUCCAGCAAUGCCGCGUGCAGGAAGAAGGCCUUCGGGUUGUAAACUGCUUUUGUACGGAGCGAAAAGGCUCUCUCUAAUACAGGGGGCUCAUGACGGUACCGUAAGAAUAAGCACCGGCUAACUACGUGCCAGCAGCCGCCGUAA